UCCCCCCUCUCUCUUUUUCAGAGUUAUAUCCAUGGGAGCAGCCAGGCCCAGUUUGUAGCUGAGUCCCACAUCAUCCUGCUGCUCAAUGCCGCCAUCACCAUGGGGAUGGUCCUGCUCAACGAGGCGGCGACGUCCAAAGGAGAUGUGGGCAAGAGGAGAAUUAUCUGCCUGGUGGGACUGGGCCUGGUCGUGUUCUUCUUCAGCUUCCUGCUGUCUAUCUUCAGGUCCAAGUACCACGGCUACCCCUACAGCUUCCUUAUAAAGUGAGUCUGAGGCGCCGUCUUCAGAGUGAAGGGUGAAGAGGCUACUUGAUGCUGCUAGCUGAGAGGCUGCAGACACGGGGACAGGGUGCAUGGGGUGGGAGGUUCAUUUCAACUGCUGUACUCAAUCUACUUAAUAAAUGAUAAUGUGACAAACUGAGAAAAGA